UAUCUUUGCUCCCUGACCCCAGCAAGAAUGAAGGAAAGUCUGAGUAUCUGAACCCAAGAACUCAGUCUGGUAACUGCUCUAGGGCUAGAGGGGCUCUCUCCCUGGCAACCUGUAUGAAAGUAGUUUCUACUAGUUCUUCACAGGUGUGAGAACAAGAAAGUAAUCUUCCUAUAUAGGAAACUACCCAAAUUCUGUAUUAGCAGUCUGUCUGCAUCCACUGCUAUCUCUAGGGUAGACCUGCAGAUAAGUGGAAGGAAUAGAAGGGCCCUGACAUCUGAUCUCACUAGUACUUUUCAGACAUUUAACCCAACUUGGCAAUAUUAAACCAACUGAACACUGCUGAAGAAAGCCACAUCCUUUCUUCCCAUUUCGACUGGAACAUCCUUGAACUUCAAACAAUCCCUAGGAAAGUCUGAGUGGUCAGACAGCUAAGCUUCUCACAACCUGAGGUGAUGAAAGAAACCACAGCAUGGAGCUCUGGAACUUCACCUUGGGAAGUGGCUUCAUCUUGGUGGGGAUUCUGAAUGACAGUGGGUCUCCUGAACUGCUCUGUGCUACAAUUACAAUCCUAUACAUGUUGGCCCUGACCAGCAAUGGCCUGCUGCUCCUGGCUAUCACCACGGAAGCUCGGCUCCACAUGCCCAUGUACCUCCUGCUUGGGCAGCUCUCUCUCAUGGACCUCCUGUUCACAUCUGUUGUCAGUCCCAAGGCCCUUGCAGACUUUCUGCGCAGAGAAAACACUAUCUCCUUUGGAGGCUGUGCCCUUCAGAUGUUCCUGGCACUGACAAUGGGUGGUGCUGAGGACCUCCUACUGGCCUUCAUGGCCUAUGACAGAAAUGUAAAAUAUUACCUCUGCUGGAAUAUGAACUACAGCCAGGAUUUGAAUAGUACAAAUUAGAUGAGAUGACUUGCAGUGUAGAGCCCUCUAGGCUUUCAGCCUAGAACAGGAAGGAACACAGAGUAAUGACAGCAAACAGUGAAGCUAUAGGAUAAUAAUUCCUCUUCAGUGACAAGAGGCCCCACCACUGCUUUGGACUCCAGGAAGCACUCAGACAUUAACAUCUGUGAAGUGUGCCCUGCAUGCUAAGAAAAAGGUGAACUGACAGACCCUUCUGUCCAUCAAGUCAUCCACAGCCUAGUUAUUUCUGUCUCUGCUGCUAAUUGUGCCGAAAGUAACCAUAAAAUCUGGAGUCAACUGCUAGAAGUUUUGCAAGAACAAAAGCCAAGGAAAUGCACUUGUGUCUUGGUGAGUAGCCAAAGUUAGUUACAGGGAGCUGAAGCAAGGGACUGAAAAAAACGAGAAGUCUUAGAAAAUGUUCUCCAGUCCCUGAGGAUCUGAAGGCCUAUGUGUGACUGAUAUUUGGUGGAGGAGAAUGGACCUAGCUCUUUCCCCAUUCCAAACGACCAAAAUCUUUGUUGAAAGGCAUAUUGUGUAUUGUCACUAAUUCUGGGAAGGCGGGGGCCAUUGGUUUUCAUGAAGUGUGACUAUGAAACACGAAAAUCAGACAAGGCAAUCUUGAUCUGAGGAAUGCUUCUAAGAGAAAAUGAAUAUAUCUGCCCUAUAGGCCCGCUUCUCUACCAAGCACAUGGUGAUGUCCACUCAUUCUUGCUGGCACCAAAUAGUGACAUUCAAAAGAGCUGGCAUAAUUUUUUAGAGUUGCUAAGUAUAUAAAGAACUAACUUUGUCAAUUUUGUUAAUUAUACUUCACUUUAUCUCUGUCUUAUCAAUUAG
rnacentral:sRNA from 1 species